rnacentral:misc_RNA from 1 species
UUACCUAAGCAGCAGAAAAAGAAAAGAUAAGAAAAGAAAGAGGGAAGACACCCAAUUCUUUCAAGACACAAAUUACAUUGAUGUUCAGUUAUAUAUAUAAACCCAAACCCCAAUCUUAACCAUGACGAUAUUCACCUUUAUGCAGCAUAAGUUACUCGAGGGAAACAAAUAGGGAGCAACUGAAAGAAACCACUUUCAAGCUCCCUCCCACAAUUUCAUCGCAAACAAGAUAUAUAUAUGACAUGAAUGUAUAUAUAUGUAUAUGUAAUUAUAUAGAUUGAAUCUUUUCAUUGGGACUUGAGUUGAAAUGACUUUUAAUUUAACUUGGAAACAUAGUUACAAGGCAACAUGUUGUUACAAUUGCUCAUACUUCAAUUUCUAAUUGACACAUGUGUGUGUUUGGAUUUCAUUUACCGAGUGGAUGAAGGGAAAAGCUCCGACACCUAUGUGGGGAAUAUUGCUGCUGAUACACACAUUUUCGAUACGGUCUCUCCAGAAUACCAUGAUCAGAUAACAUUCAGUCAAUUAGCAAAGAACAGUAAAUCCGAAUUAUUUCGAGUUUCAAAAGUUGGUAAACUUUUUACUUCACAAGUUCUUGAUGCUGAAUCACUUUGUAAAUAUAAUACAGACUGUUUCAAGACUAUUGAAGUUGCUGUCAAAAACCAGGAAUCCUUUAUCAAAGUGUUGGAAAUAAAAGUUGUUAUAGAAGAUGUAAAUGAUCACCCACCAGAAUUUACGGUGGAUGAAGUCGAAAUCCAUUUCUCAGAAAGAGACAGGAAAGGGUCACGAUUAUCAAUUCCAAAUGCCAUAGACAAAGAUCUUGGAGUUCAGAAUUCUUUAAUAACUUAUGUAUUGAAAAAAAGCAAAAAUGAACCAUUUGAUUUGUCAGUUUAUGAAAAACUAGAUGGCACGGCAAAACUGGGUAUUGUCUUAGUUGAAAAACUUGACCGAGAAACAAAAGAUACUUAUACACUGCAAGUUAUAGCCAAAGACGGAGGAUUUCCUAAGAAACAAGGUGUUUUAAAUGUUAAAAUAUUAGUAAAAGAUGAAAAUGAUAAUCCUCCAAUUUUUACUGAAAGUGUAUAUAAUGUUUCUUUAAGGAAUACUCAUCCAAAAAAUUUAUCAAUUGUAACUGUCUUGGCAAAAGAUUUCGAUUCUGAUGAAAAUGGUCAAGUGUCAUAUUACUUCAGUUCAAAGAUGGCUGGAUUAACAAAAACUUACUUUGAGUUAGUUAAAAAUACAGGAGAAAUUUUCUAUCGUGACAAUUUCCCCUUUGAACAAAGGCAAACCUAUAAGUUAUUCAUUGAAGCUAUGGAUGGUGGUAACCCUCCUCUUAGUUCCACUGCUAUUGUUCUUGUAAAUGUUAUCAACCAAUUGAACAAUCCUCCAAGUGUGGAGGUGAAUUUUUUCUCUGAGUCGACAGAAAAUGCCUUCACUAUAUCAGAAGGAGUUAAAGUGGGUAGUUUUAUAGCUUACGUGAAAGUCACUGACAAUGACGUUGGAGAAAAUGGAGAAGUCACUUGUGAACUUCAACACAACAAGUUACAACUUCAAAACCUUGGAAAGAAAAAAUAUAAAAUAACUGUAAAGAAUCUGAUUGAUAGAGAGACAGAAAAUCAUCUUGAUUUUAGAAUUAGCUGCCAGGAUAAAGGGUCUGUUCCUCUUGGGACAGAUAGAAAUUUCUCCAUCCAAGUAACAGACGUGAAUGAUGUGAAGCCACAUUUCACCAAAAACACUUUCAAGUUUCUGACUUAUGAGAACGAAGAGCCAAACUUUCCUGUUGGUUUCAUUAACGCGACUGACCCUGAUUUAGGUAUAGGAGGUCAACUUAGUUACUCAUUAAUUAGUGACCAACACAUACUGCCAUUUGAAAUUUCUGAUUUUGGUUUCAUUUCGACAACUCGGUCUGUAGAUUAUGAACAACAAGAUAUUUACAAAUUCAAAGUUUUCGUCAAAGACAAUGGAACACCAUCACUAAACAACACAGCAAAUGUUGUUGUUGAGGUUAUGGAUGAGAAUGAUAAUGCUCCUUAUUUUACAUUUCCUAGUGUUAACCCUUUUAGUUUAGAUGUCCACUAUCAACCCCAUCGCAAGAAUGAUGUUGCAGUAUUGAGAGCCUCUGACAGAGACAGCCAUGUCAAUGCUUUCCUCAGGUACGAAAUACUUGGAGGAAACGAGAAACAGCUAUUCAAAGUGAACUCCUACACAGGAGUUUUAUCUUUUUCUCGUACCGUUUACCAAAACGACGCUGGAUCAUACGAGCUCCUGUUUGUUGUUAAAGACAGCGGUACUCCAGUUCUAUCUGCAACAACCACCUUGUCUUUAAUAUUAACAGUUAGCAACAAAACAGCCAAAAUGCAAACCACAGUGCAUGUGGAAACAGACAAUAGAAUACAUAUCAACUUGAUGAUUCUCUUUGUUGUGGCAGCAGUCAUUAUCACCAUAGUAACAGCAAUUUCAGUUAUAAUAUGUAUUGUCCAGAGGCACAAUCAAAAGAAUGUGCCAUAUGGAAGCACCACAGAGGCCGAUAACAAAUUUCUAGAUGAAAGAAACCAAUCAGAAAAUGUGUGUGAACAAUAUGAUAUUCCAGUUACCAUGGUAACUAAACAAGAACACAACCAGGUCUACCAAGCAACAUUGCUUAAAAAGGAACCCUGUGCCGAAUUUCAAGCAGGCCAUACUUGGAAAGGGUCUGCUGUUGAAAUACAGCCUCAGGCAGCCGUACAAGGAACACCUCAAGUAACUUAUACUGCAGUUAAUAAGGAAAAACGCAUGGUUAUCUCCCCUGAACAACUGAACACAAUUUCAACUUUGUCUUCCCUGGAAGGCAGCGAAACCAGCUGGAGUGAGUCUGGCAGUAGGCAUUAUGAAACUCUCCCAGGUAUAUUCCGUAUCAAUUAAGUCGUUCCAUCCCUCGUUGAACUUCUUAAUGAAUUAUUUCCAGUAAAAAAAAUAAAUAAAUCACAAAGAAAAGAAAAAAAAUGGGGAAAGAAAAGUCCUCAUUGAACUUGUCAUUGAAAAGGGUUUCAACGCUCUUAUCCACUCUGCUGCAGCCCCGUACGACAG